rnacentral:rRNA from 1 species
AAUGAACGCUGGCGGAAUGCCUAAUACAUGCAAGUCGAGCGAAAGGAUGGGGGGAGUGCUCCUGUGACGUUGGCGGCGGGCGGGUGAGUAACACGUAGAUAACCGACCGAUGGGGCUGGGGUAACUUCGGGAAACCGAAUCUAGUACCGGAUAAUAUGUUGAAAGGGAUGGUUCAAUAGUGAAAGAGGGAUUUGCUGUGACUUAGAGAUGUAUCGGUGUCGGAUUAGCUAGUUGGUAGGGUAACGGCCUACCAAGCCAACGAUGUGUAGCCGACCUGAGAGGACGACCAGCCACACUGGGACUGAGACACGGCCCAGACUCCUCCGGGAGGCAGCAGUGGGGAAUUUUGGACAAUGUGCGCAAGCCUGAUCCAGCCAUUCCGCGUGCAAGACGAAGGCCUUCGGCUUGUAAACUGCUUUUGUACGGAACGAAAAGGCCCUGGCUAAUACCUGGGGCUCAUGACGGUACCGUAAGAGUAAGCACCGGCUAACUACGUG